rnacentral:rRNA from 1 species
UACGUAGGGUGCAAGCGUUGUCCGGAAUUAUUGGGCGUAAAGAGCUCGUAGGCGGUCUGUCGCGUCUGGUGUGAAAACUCAGGGCUUAACCCUGAGCUUGCAUCGGGUACGGGCAGACUAGAGUGCGGUAGGGGGAGACUGGAAUUCCUGGUGUAGCGGUGAAAUGCGCAGAGUAUCUGGAGGAACACCGGUGGCGAAGGCGACGUCCUGGACCGGCAUUGACGCUGAGGCGCGAAAGCCAGGGGAGCAAAGCGGG